rnacentral:rRNA from 1 species
UACGGAGGGAGCUCGCAUUGUUCGGAAUUACUGGGCGUAAAGCGCGCGUAGGCGGCCUUGUAAGUUAGAGGUGAAAGCCCGGGGCUCAGCCCCGGAACUGCCUUUAAGACUGCAUCGCUUGAAUCCGGGAGAGGUGAGUGGAAUUCCGAGUGUAGAGGUGAAAUUCGUAGAUAUUCGGAAGAACACCAGUGGCGAAGGCGGCUCACUGGACCGGUAUUGACGCUGAGGUGCGAAAGCGUGGGGAGCAAAAAGG